rnacentral:rRNA from 1 species
GACGAACGCUGGCGGCGUGCCUAAUACAUGCAAGUCGAACGAAAAGGCCCUGCUCUUGCGCGGUGCUCGUUAGCCGCACACGUGUGUGAAACGUGAGUAACACGCCCCUGUCUUUCUGGUAUCAUCACGGGACACCGGCUCAUACCCCGUAGAAGCUUCUGCUGCACGUGGGGGGUAGGUAAGAUGCGGCGGUUGGGGAUGUGCUCGCGGCUUAUCAGCUUGUUGGUGGGGUUGUGGCUUACCAAGGCUUUGACGGGUAGCCGUCCUGAGCGGGUGACCGGCCACAUUGGGACUGAGAUGCGGCCCAGACUCCUACGGGAGGCAGCAGUGGGGAAUAUUGCACAAUGGGCGGAAGCCUGAUGCAGCAACGCCGCGUGGGGGAUGACGGCCUUCGGGUUGUAAACCGCUUUCGCCUGUGACGAAGCGUGAGUGACGGUAAUGGGUAAAGAAGCACCGGCUAACUACGUG